rnacentral:rRNA from 1 species
UACGGAGGGUGCGAGCGUUGUCCGGAAUCACUGGGCGUAAAGGGCGCGUAGGCGGCCUGAUAAGUCGGGGGUGAAAUCCUGCGGCUUAACCGCAGGGCUGCCUUCUAAACUGUCAGGCUAGAGCACAGUAGAGGCAGGUGGAAUUCCCGGUGUAGCGGUGGAAUGCGUAGAGAUCGGGAAGAACAUCAGUGGCGAAGGCGGCCUGCUGGGCUGUUGCUGACGCUGAGGCGCGACAGCAUGGGGAGCGAACGGG